UUGAUUGGGCUGGUUCUGAUGCA
rnacentral:siRNA from 1 species